GCACUUAUUAUAUUCUCUUGUGUGUCCAGCCACAGACUGUAGUCACAUGAACAUGUACAAGUGUAGAAACGGCAAGUGUACCUCCAGAGAAUUCGUGUGUGACGGACACAACGACUGUGGUGACUCGUCGGACGAGUUCGACUGUGAACACUUUGUAUGUCUUCAGGGCGAGGUAAAGUGCGAUAACUUCAUCUGCAUCGAAGGCUUCAAAAGAUGCGACGGCAAAAACGAUUGCGGCACAGGCUACGACGAACGUGGAUGCAGCGGUUGAGUUACAGCCCUUGAACCAUCGGUUUGUGAGAUCAAGUGAAAGAAAAAUAGGUGCAGAAGCUCAAUAAAAUAUUUGGACUUUGUUUAA
rnacentral:sRNA from 1 species